CAGGCAGAGAGAGAGAGGCAGAGAGACCGGCAGAGAGAGAGAGAGAGAGAGACAGGCAGAGAGAGAGCGACAGAGAGAGAGAGACAGGCAGGCAGAGAGACAGGCAGAGAGAGAGAGAGAGAGACAUGCAGAGACAGAGAGAGAGACAGGCAGAGACAGAGACAUAGAGACAGGCAGAGACUGGCAGAGACAGAGGGAGAGAGAGAGACAGGCAGAGACAGAUAGAGACAGGAAGAUGGGCAGAGACAGGCAGAGAGAGACAGAGAGAGAGAGACAGAGGCAGGCAGAGAGAGAGACAGGCAGAGAGGGAGAGAGACAGGCAGAAACAGAGAGAGAGAGACAGGCAGAAAGAGAGAGACAUGCAGAAAGAGAGAGAGAGAGACAGGCAGAAACAGAGAGAGAGACCGGCAGACAGGUAGCAACAGGCAGAGAGAGAGAGAGAGAGAGACAGGCAGAUGGGCAGAGACAGAGAGAGAGGCAGAGACAGGCAGAGACAGAUAGAGAGGCAGAGACAGGCAGAGAGAGAGUCAGGGAGAGAGAGAGUCAGGGAGAGAGAGAGAGAGAGAGAGAGACAGGCAGAGACAGAGAGAGAGACAGGUAGAGAGAGAGAGAGAGACAGGCAGAGACAGGCAGAGACAGAGAGAGACAGGCAGAUGGGCAGAGACAGGCAGAUGGGCAGAGACAGGCAGAGAGAGAGACAGGCAGAGAGAGAGACAGAGAGACAGGCAGAGACAGAGAGAGACAGGCAGACAGGCAGCAACAGGCAGAGAGAGAGAGACAGGCAGAGAGACAGGCUGAGACAGAGAGAGAGAGACAGGCAGAGACAUAGAGACAGGCAGAGACAGAGAGACAGGCAGAGAGAGAGAGAGAGAGAGAGACAGGCAGAGAGAGAGAGAGAGAGAGACAGGCAGAGACAGAGAGAGAGAGAUAGGCAGAGACAGAGACAGAGAGACAGGCAGAGACAGGCAGAGACAGAGGGAGAGAGAGACAGGCAGAGAGAGAGAGAGAGAGAGAGAGACAGGCAGAGAGAGAGAGAGAGAGAGACAGGCAGAGACAGAGAGAGAGAGAUAGGCAGAGACAGAGACAGAGAGACAGGCAGAGACAGGCAGAGACAGAGGGAGAGAGAGACAGAGGCAGGCAGAGAGGGAGAGAGACAGACAGUGAGAGAGAGAUAGGCAGAGACAGAGAGAGAGAGAGACAGGCAUAAAUAGAGAGAGAGAGACAGGCAGAAAGAGAGAGACAGGCAGAAACAGAGAGAGAGACCGGCAGACAGGCAGCA
ensembl:lncRNA